rfam:Deltaproteobacteria bacterium GWA2_54_12 gwa2_scaffold_12043, whole genome shotgun sequence.
UAGACUUGUAGGCGUCACGGGUGGCCCGAGAGGGCCUUCAAAGGGAAGUACGGUGUGAAACCGUCGCGGACCCGCCGCUGUAACCGGAGACGAAAGCCGCAAGACAAGCCACUGUCCGCAAGGACGGGAAGGCGCGGCGAGUAGGAUGACCCGGAAGCCAGAAGACCUGCCCUGAUGUAACAAAUUCG